UCUUGAGAGAUCUGAUUGACUAUCUUUUCCCUAUCUACUCCAUCCCUGUUCUUAAGCGCUUCCCUCCUCCUCCCACGACUGUCUCUCUCAUGAGAGAAGACAAAUAGCCCCCUGUCUCCUUGGACAGGACACCCUGAUCCAGUGCAUCUGAUUGGCUUCCUGCCAACUCAAACAAACAGCCUCCGGCAGAGGGAGAAGUAGAUAUAAAUGGCUCCACAGCCUGGCCACUGCGUCCAUUCUCAGGCUCAUUUCUCCACAAAUUUACUGCUCCUUUCUCCACAAAUCACUUCUGAACUGUGGCUUGGAAGUCUCUGGGCCUCAGUCUGCAGAGACACAGAAGCAAAUGAUUGUAUGAAGCUCCUGACUGUAUGAAGUUCUCAGUCAAACAAAAUAGUACCUCUUCUGCCCAUCUCAGAGGUGGAUAAGGAUAAAGUGAAAUAAUGGAAAGCACAAGGAACAGUAAAAGGCAAAUGUCAAGAAGCUGUUUGCAAAGUUACCAAGAUGUAAAAUUAGAUUUUACUUAUUAAUAAUCAUGUCACUUGUCAUUCUGUUUAUAACGGUCAAUUCACUGCUGAUAUUCAAGUGGACCGUUUAAACUGUAUUUUUGCUCAACUAUCCCUCCAAAUAAAUAUCUCAAAAUCUUGACUGUU